rnacentral:rRNA from 1 species
AGAGUUUGAUCCUGGCUCAGAACGAACGCUGGCGGCGUGCUUAACACAUGCAAGUCGAACGUGAUCCGGAGCUUGCUCCGGUGAAAGUGGCGCACGGGUGAGUAACGCGUGGAUAACCUGCCCUGGUAUCUGGGAUAACAUCUCGAAAGGGGUGCUAAUACCGGAUAAGCCUACGGACUCUUCGGAGUCUGCAGGAAAAGGAGGCCUCUAUUUAUAAGCUUCCGUAUCAUGAUGGGUCCGCGUACCAUUAGCUAGUUGGUGGGGUAAUGGCCUACCAAGGCGACGAUGGUUAGCUGGUCUGAGAGGAUGAUCAGCCACACUGGAACUGAGACACGGUCCAGACUCCUACGGGAGGCAGCAGUGGGGAAUUUUGCGCAAUGGGGGAAACCCUGACGCAGCAACGCCGCGUGAGUGAUGAAGGCUUUCGGGUCGUAAAGCUCUGUCAGAGGGGAAGAAAUGAGAUUGGCUAAUAUCCAAUUUUCUUGACGGUACCCUCAAAGGAAGCACCGGCUAACUCCGUGCCAGCAGCCGCGGUAAUACGUAGGGGGCUAGCGUUGUCCGGAUUUACUGGGUGUAAAGGGCGCGUAGGUGGACUUGUCAGUCAGAGGUGAAACCCUGCAGCUUAACUGCAGAACUGCCUUUGAUACUGCAAGCCUUGAGUCUAGAAGAGAAAAGCGGAAUUCCAGGUGUAGUGGUGAAAUACGUAGAUAUCUGGAAGAACACCAGUUGCGAAGGCGGCUUUUUGGUCUAGAACUGACACUGAGGCGCGAAAGCGUGGGUAGCAAACAGGAUUAGAUACCCUGGUAGUCC